GGAAGACAUGAGGAGAGACGCUGAGCGACAGGCAGAUGGAGAAGCAUGCGAGGCGAGCAGCAGAGAGAGACAAAAGCGCGUGGAGAAAGUGCGGCGUGCCAUGUGCUCAGAUCCUGCAGUGCUCCAUUUGCUGAAGGUGUCUGAGCAAAGACCAAAGACCACAGUGCUGCCAUCCCACCACGUGUGACAGCCAGCCAAUCAUAAGGAUCUCACCGCCUCAGUGUCAGGACAGGGUGGGAGUGACGUGCCCCUCCUCCACCUGUUCUUCGCAAAUGACCCUCACAGCCUCCCGUCCUGCUGGCAAAAGUUUAAAGAGUGACGCCGGAAUCCCACUCGGAGGCAGAGGAGCACGGGACAGCGCCGGGACAGUAUAAAACGGAGGACACAUGGAGGAAAUGACUGGGAGAGGAGGAGUGACUGGGGGUACCCCUCUUCAUUCUAUAAGUGCCCAAGAAGAAGAAGCUCGGUCAACACGGUCAAGCUUUUCCCAGACUUUAAGAGAAAUAUUUGUUAGACGCACAAAGUCUUUAAGAGAGAUGGACUCGGACCCGGAUCCCCUGGCGCACGGCGGCCGUCAUUUGCUCAGUAGGCAGUGUAGAUCCUGUGUAGCAAUCAGCAGCUACAUCUGGCUACUGGGUCUCUGGCGGACCAGCCUACUUCCCGCUACAUUCCACGCCCAUUGGUGGCUCUGCGUGUUCCGAGCCUCCCCAUUGGACAGCUGGUGGUAAUGGUGCUCCAUCCUGUGACCCCCGCAGACAGGAUGUUCUCUGUCACAACUCCACAAGGGGCCCUUGUCAAGGCUUUUGUCCGUUUGCACCAUCCUUCUUUAAAGGCUUCCUGUUUGGCCUCCAGAAGCUCAUCGAUUUGCUUUGUCCUGAACCUGGCAUACAAUGUAGAUUUCUGUGUGCUAUUAUUCUACAGCUACAUUGUCUGCUGGGUUUCUGGCUAGCAUUAUAAUCGGCAACCGAUUCGUCAACCCCAAUAACAUUGUAGAUGCGCAGAAGGUAAGCUAGUUAUGAUGUCACAAAACAGAAACAUUCUUCCAAUAAAAAGAAACUAUUGGAAAUGA